UGGCUCAGAUUGAGCGCUGGCGGCAGGCCUAACACAUGCAAGUCGAACGGUAACAGGAAGCAGCUUGCUGCUUCGCUGACGAGUGGCGGACGGGUGAGUAAUGUCUGGGAAACUGCCUGAUGGAGGGGGAUAACUACUGGAAACGGUGGCUAAUACCGCAUAACGUCGCAAGACCAAAGAGGGGGACCUUCGGGCCUCUUGCCAUCAGAUGUGCCCAGAUGGGAUUAGCUAGUUGGUGAGGUAACGGCUCACCAAGGCGACGAUCCCUAGCUGGUCUGAGAGGAUGACCAGCCACACUGGAACUGAGACACGGUCCAGACUCCUACGGGAGGCAGCAGUGGGGAAUAUUGCACAAUGGCGCAAGCCUGAUGCAGCCAUGCCGCGUGUAUGAAGAAGGCCUUCGGGUUGUAAAGUACUUUCAGCGGGGAGGAAGGUGUUGUGGUUAAUAACCGCAGCAAUUGACGUUACCCGCAGAAGAAGCACCGGCUAACUCCGUGCCAGCAGCCGCGGUAAUACGGAGGGUGCAAGCGUUAAUCGGAAUUACUGGGCGUAAAGCGCACGCAGGCGGUCUGUCAAGUCGGAUGUGAAAUCCCCGGGCUCAACCUGGGAACUGCAUUCGAAACUGGCAGGCUUGAGUCUUGUAGAGGGGGGUAGAAUUCCAGGUGUAGCGGUGAAAUGCGUAGAGAUCUGGAGGAAUACCGGUGGCGAAGGCGGCCCCCUGGACAAAGACUGACGCUCAGGUGCGAAAGCGUGGGGAGCAAACAGGAUUAGAUACCCUGGUAGUCCACGCCGUAAACGAUGUCUACUUGGAGGUUGUGCCCUUGAGGCGUGGCUUCCGGAGCUAACGCGUUAAGUAGACCGCCUGGGGAGUACGGCCGCAAGGUUAAAACUCAAAUGAAUUGACGGGGGCCCGCACAAGCGGUGGAGCAUGUGGUUUAAUUCGAUGCAACGCGAAGAACCUUACCUGGUCUUGACAUCCACAGAACUUUCCAGAGAUGGAUUGGUGCCUUCGGGAACUGUGAGACAGGUGCUGCAUGGCUGUCGUCAGCUCGUGUUGUGAAAUGUUGGGUUAAGUCCCGCAACGAGCGCAACCCUUAUCCUUUGUUGCCAGCGGUUAGGCCGGGAACUCAAAGGAAACUGCCAGUGAUAAACUGGAGGAAGGUGGGGAUGACGUCAAGUCAUCAUGGCCCUUACGACCAGGGCUACACACGUGCUACAAUGGCGCAUACAAAGAGAAGCGACCUCGCGAGAGCAAGCGGACCUCAUAAAGUGCGUCGUAGUCCGGAUUGGAGUCUGCAACUCGACUCCAUGAAGUCGGAAUCGCUAGUAAUCGUGGAUCAGAAUGCCACGGUGAAUACGUUCCCGGGCCUUGUACACACCGCCCGUCACACCAUGGGAGUGGGUUGCAAAAGAAGUAGGUAGCUUAACCUUCGGGAGGGCGCUUACCACUUUGUGAUGCAUGACUGGGGUGAAGUCGUAACAAGGUA
rnacentral:rRNA from 1 species